rnacentral:rRNA from 1 species
GUGAGGAAUUUUCCGCAAUGGGCGAAAGCCUGACGGAGCAAUGCCGCGUGAAGGAUGAAGGCCUAUGGGUUGUAAACUUCUUUUCUCAGAAAAGAAUUAUGACGGUAUCUGAGGAAUAAGCAUCGGCUAACUCUGUGCCAGCAGCCGCGGUAAGACAGAGGAUGCAAGCGUUAUCCGGAAUGAUUGGGCGUAAAGCGUCUGUAGGUUGUUUAAAAAGUAUUCUGUCAAAGAUUAGGGCUUAACCCUAGAUAGUCAGAAUAAACUUUUAAGCUAGAGUUUGGUAGAGGCAGAGGGAAUUCCCGGUGGAGCGGUGAAAUGCGUAGAUAUCGGGAGGAACACCAAAGGCGAAGGCACUCUGCUGGGCCAAUACUAACACUGAGAGACGAAAGCGAGGGGAGCAAAUGGGAUUAGAAACCCUGGUAGUCC